rnacentral:rRNA from 1 species
GACGAACGCUGGCGGCGUGCUUAACACAUGCAAGUCGAACGGAAAGGCCCCCAUCUUGGUGGGGGUGCUCGAGUGGCGAACGGGUGAGUAACACGUGGGUGAUCUGCCCUGUACUUCGGGAUAAGCUUGGGAAACUGGGUCUAAUACCGGAUAGGACCAUGGUUUAGUGUCUCAUGGUGGAAAGAUUAUUGUUUUGGUGCAGGAUGAGCUCGCGGCCUAUCAGCUUGUUGGUGGGGUAAUGGCCUACCAAGGCGUCGACGGGUAGCCGGCCUGAGAGGGUGGACGGCCACAUUGGGACUGAGAGACGGCCCAGACUCCUACGGGAGGCAGCAGUGGGGAAUAUUGCACAAUGGGCGCAAGACUGAUGCAGCGACGCCGCGUGGGGGAUGACGGCCUUCGGGUUGUAAACUCCUUUCGUUAGGGACGAAGCCGCACUUUUUUUGGGUGUGGUGACGGUACCUUUGUUAAGAAGCACCGGCUAACUACGUG